CAGCAGCCGCGGUAAAACAGAGGUCCCAAGCGUUGUUCGGAUUCACUGGGCGUAAAGGGUGCGUAGGCGGUUAGGUAAGUCUGUUGUGAAAUCUCCGAGCUUAACUCGGAAACUGCAGUGGAUACUAUCUAGCUCGAGGAAUGGAGGGGAGACUGGAAUACUUGGUGUAGCAGUGAAAUGCGUAGAUAUCAAGUGGAACACCAGUGGCGAAGGCGAGUCUCUGGACAUUUCCUGACGCUGAGGCACGAAAGCCAGGGGAGCAAACGGGAUUAGAUACCCCGGUAGUCCCUGUCUCUUAUAC
rnacentral:rRNA from 1 species